rnacentral:rRNA from 1 species
CCUACGGGAGGCAGCAGUGGGGAAUAUUGCACAAUGGGGGAAACCCUGAUGCAGCGACGCCGCGUGAGUGAAGAAGUAUCUCGGUAUGUAAAGCUCUAUCAGCAGGGAAGAAAAUGACGGUACCUGAUUAAGAAGCCCCGGCUAACUACGUGCGAGCAGCGCGGCAACAAGGAGGGGGCAAGCGUUAUCCGGAUUUACUGGGUGUAAAGGGAGCGUAGACGGCAGCACAAGUCUGGAGGGAAAUGCUGGGGCUUAAACCCGGAACUGCUUUGGAAACUGUGCAGCUAGAGUGCAGGAGAGGUAAGUGGAAUGCCUGGUGUAGCGGUGAAAUGCGUAGAUAUUAGGAAGAACCCCAGUGGCGAAGGCAGCUUACUGGACUGUAACUGACGUUGAGGCACGAAAGCGUGGGGAGCAAACAGGAUUAGAUACCCGGGUAGUC